AUGAAAGCAGGCACUUGAGCAACUAUGUGUGCACCAAGUAAAAAGCACAAUGUAGGAGCAUUAGUAUGCUAAUGAGGUGCGGGGCGACAGGUGGCCUGCUAGACAGCUCAAUUAAGCAGCUCGUUAAAGGCCAAGCUAACGAAGCGGCCUGCACUGCAAGCCUCAACAAACAAUGUGACUGUGCAGGCUACAAAUUGCUUCCAGCGGAACAUUGAGAGGAUGUGCCACCCAUUUUUUAAAGAUGUUCAGGUUUUUGGUGAACAAUUAGUGUGAGGCUGACGGAGAUGGUCUCGACCCCUGGUUGCUGCGAACAUUAUAGGGAUGCAGAG